rnacentral:misc_RNA from 1 species
UUUACUUCAUCAAUCCCCAUUGUUUACAAAGAAGAUCUGGGAAAAUCAGUGCCAAUUUAUCGAACCCCUUCUCUUCCAGCCAAUACUCACAACUACCACUUUUCUACUUUCUGCUACUAUCUCUACUACACUGGCUUUGCAAAGUUUUCUUAUAAGCUCUCUUCAUUAAUUGAAACACUUAUAAUUGAUAAGCAUUCUGUUUAAUAACUAUAAUUUUUCGCCAGGAAAUAACUGAUUGGAGAAGAAAGCCAAGUUUUUUGUUAAUUCAGAAGUUGAAAGUAACCUGCUAACUAUGUGGCUGAAACUGGUGGCUGUUGGUGUGGUGGCCUACAUUAUUUACCAGAUGAAUGAUAUGUUUGAUCUCAAUGACUUGAAAGGUAAACGAGUUGUGUUAACCGGAGCAUCAACAGGUAUAGGAGAACAGAUGGCUUACCACUAUGCAAACAACAAGGCCAAUCUUCUUAUAACAGCACGAAGAACCAAUGUACUUCAGAAGGUUAUAGAUCGCUGCAAAUCUCUUGGUGAUCCAAAUGGGAACUAUAACUACAUCACAGCAGACAUGGGAAAUCUAUCAGCCACAGAGAAUGUGAUUAAGGAAGCUGAAGAGAAAAUGGGAGGUAUUGAUUUCCUGGUUUUGAAUCACAUCAAAGAAAUAUCUUUAGGUGAAUGGAGUGGGUCUACUGAUAACCUAACAUUGCUCUCCAAUCUCUUUGAUAUCAACUUCAAAGCAUAUGUACACCUGGCUUCCUAUGCUUUGCCCUUACUUGAGAAAAGUGGUGGAAGCAUUAUUGUUGUUUCAUCUAUUGCAGGAAAAUUGGCUCAACCCUAUCUUUCGGUUUAUUCUGCCACUAAAUUUGCUCUUGAUGGAUUCUUCAGUGGAUUACGCAUGGAAUUAGAAUUGAAGAAAUGUAAUGUUUCAGUGACAUUGUGUGUCAUUGGUCUCAUUGGAACUGAAAAUGCUGUUUCCAAGUUGAAGGAGUUUGGAAGAGGAACUGUUCUGGAUCUGGUCAAACCUGCCCGACCAGAGGAUGCUGCUAUGGCCAUCAUAAAAGGAGGAGCUCUGCGUCAACGAGAAAUAUAUUUUCCCUACUUUUCUGCUAAGUUAUAUACAGUCUUUAGAGAUUUGUUUCGGGGUCUUCUAGAAAGUUCCAUAAAAUUUAUGUAUCAGUGAAAAUAUCUUAUUUGUUAUAGCUUGAUUUACUGGCUUUGUUUGCUGCCGUUGCCUGUAAGUCUCCUUAUUCUGUGUGUGUGUGUGAUGUGUGUGUGUGUGUGUGUGUGUGUGUGUGUGUGUGUGUGUGUGUGUGUGUGUGU